rnacentral:tRNA from 1 species
UUCCUAUUAGCUUAGAUGGCAAAGAAUCUGCCUGCAAUGUAGGAGACCCAGGUUUGAUCCCUGGGUUGGGAA